GACGAACCGUGCGAACGUUGUUCGGAAUCACUGGGCUUAAAGGGCGCGUAGGCGGGUGCUCAAGUCCGGGGUGAAAUCCCACAGCUCAACUGUGGAAUUGCCUCGGAUACUGGGUGUCUCGAGGGUGGUAGGGGUAUGCGGAACUAUCGGUGGAGCGGUGAAAUGCGUUGAUAUCGAUAGGAACUCCGGUGGCGAAGGCGGCAUACUGGACCACUUCUGACGCUGAGGCGCGAAAGCCAGGGGAGCAAACGGG
rnacentral:rRNA from 1 species